AAAACUUUCAUAGAUGGAACUAAUACAAUGUGCACACCUUAUUCAUAAACAAUAGAAACAGAGGUUUCAUUUGUGGUGUGUUCACCUAUCUAUGGUCUUGUUGACAGCAGCACCUCCUCGAUCAAUCUGUCUAAAUUUAUAUAUGAGCUACCGUUAGGAGCUGUGGCCUCCUCUGCUUUUCUCUUCCACUCUAAUGCCUUCUUUUUCAUUUCUUUACCCUUCUCUCCCUCCAUUAACUCCUUUAGAAGCUUCUCCACUUCAUCUCUCUUCACGUUAUAAUCUAUCUCCAUGCCAAUAGCCCAAUCAUUGCAAGCAAACCUGCAGUUAGUAGGCGUCUCACCAAUAAAUGGCCAACAAACCAUUGGCACUCCGCUUGACAAGCUUUCAAU
rnacentral:misc_RNA from 1 species